GUGCCUGCUUCCGCAGCACAUAUACUGAAAUUGGAAUGAUACAGAGAAGAUUAGCAUGGCCCCUGAUCAAGGAUUGUAUUUCCCUUCUAUUUUUAAGAUAGAACAAUAUUCU